rnacentral:rRNA from 2 species
GAAUCCCGUCCACCGAUUGACUAAGGUUUCCAGAGGAAGGCUCGUCCGCUCUGGGUUAGUCGGGUCCUAAGCUGAGGCCGACAGGCGUAGGCGAUGGAUAACAGGUUGAUAUUCCUGUACCACCUAUAAUCGUUUUAAUCGAUGGGGGGACGCAGUAGGAUAGGCGAAGCGUGCGAUUGGAUUGCACGUCUAAGCAGUAAGGCUGAGUAUUAGGCAAAUCCGGUACUCAUUAAGGCUGAGCUGUGAUGGGGAGAAGACAUUGUGUCUUCGAGUCGUUGAUUUCACACUGCCGAGAAAAGCCUCUAGAUAGAAAAUAGGUGCCCGUACCGCAAACCGACACAGGUAGUCAAGAUGAGAAUUCUAAGGUGAGCGAGCGAACUCUCGUUAAGGAACUCGGCAAAAUGACCCCGUAACUUCGGGAGAAGGGGUGCUCUUUAGGGUUAACGCCCAGAAGAGUCGCAGUGAAUAGGCCCAAGCGACUGUUUAUCAAAAACACAGGUCUCUGCUAAACCGUAAGGUGAUGUAUAGGGGCUGACGCCUGCCCGGUGCUGGAAGGUUAAGAGGAGUGGUUAGCUUCUGCGAAGCUACGAAUCGAAGCCCCAG